UACGAAGGGUGCAAGCGUUAAUCGGAAUUACUGGGCGUAAAGCGUGCGUAGGCGGUGAGUUAAGUCUGUCGUGAAAUCCCCGGGCUCAACCUGGGAAUGGCGAUGGAUACUGGCUCGCUAGAGUGUGAUAGAGGAUGGUGGAAUUCCCGGUGUAGCGGUGAAAUGCGUAGAGAUCGGGAGGAACAUCAGUGGCGAAGGCGGCCAUCUGGAUCAACACUGACGCUGAGGCACGAAAGCGUGGGGAGCAAACAGG
rnacentral:rRNA from 1 species